CCAGCAGCUGAGCAGCCCCACCGCCAGAGACCCCGGAGCAGGAACUGCCCCGGAAGCCGAGCUGCGACGGAGCCGGGCCCUUGGGGAUCCACGUCCACCCCCUCCCCGGGGUCACCCGAGCUCUAGCCCUGUUAUUACCGAGGCGGGGCUGAGCCGCCCAGUGCGCCCCCCCGGUUUGGGGUGGGCUCAGCACUGGGACUCCAGCUCCGUCCCCACUUUGGGGCUGGCUGGAGCCGCAUCUGUCUGCCGUUGGGCCGGACCCUUUCGUCUCCCCGGGCUGGUCCCUCCUUGCUCGGCAGAAGGGCGAGGGCCCCAGGCAGGGCGCAGGGCCCCGGCCAGCCUGCGGAGCCCCAGCCCAGUGGGCGGGCCGGGAGCGUGAGGCAGGGCCAGCGGCAGCUGCUCGGGCCGGGCGCAGGCGCUGCGGCCUGUUCCCCUUCGGGAAGCGGGCUCCGACCCGCGACGCUCCGUCCAUGAGCUGCGAGGUUGUUGCGCUGUACUUUGCCAGGAGCGCUGAAUUGGCAGGUGUUCGCUCUGAGAUUAUUUCUGUACCGCAACAAUUAACCUCUCUACAGCUGUGGGAAGAAAUUGUUAAAAGGCAUCCAAGACUUGCUGCCAUUCAGGAUCAAGUGGUCUUUGCUGUUCGCCAGGAAUACGUGCUUCUUGGUGAUCAGCUUGUGGUCCUGCAGUCAGGUGACGAGGUUGCUAUUAUCCCACCUAUCAGCGGGGGCUAACUCCAGGCAAAGACGCUUGGGGUCUAGUGAUUUGUGGAUGACUUUCCCCUUCUACUGGAACUCUGUGAGCGGGUGUAACGUGCAUCCCCUGCAGUAGACAGCUGUGAUGUUGACACUAAGAUUGAAGCCAUGAAUGAAAGUGAAGAUGAGCCCAAAGAUUUCAUCAAACUGAACUGUGAAAAACUCUCUGCAGAUGAAGUGUCAGAGCUGGUGAUUUCUCCAUGCUGCGGGGCUGUCUCUCUGUUCAUAGUAAUUCAUUUAUUUUAGGUACUACAAGGAAUAACUUUGAAGGGAAAAAGGUGAUUCACUUAGAAUAUGAAGCAUACUCAUCAAUGGCAGAAGCUGAAAUAAAGAAAAUCUGUAGAGAUGUUAGACAGAAAUGGCCUUCCAUCAAACAUAUAGCAGUGCACCAUAGACUUGGUUCCAGUAACAGAAGCAAGUGUGAUUGUAGCAGUCUCCUCUCCACACCGAGUGGCAUCUCUUGAGGCUGUGCAAUACUGCAUCAAUACUUUGAAAGCAACUGUUCCAAUUUGGAAAAAGGUAAGGCAGAGUAAGUUAUGGACUGAAUUUUCCUUGUUUGGCAUGUGCGAGUGAAGAACUAUGCUUUGCUGUAUGGAUUGUUCAGUGCUAUCAGAUCCAUGAAUAAAGAUCACUUCUACAGAGA